rnacentral:rRNA from 1 species
UACGUAGGCAGCGAGCGUUGUUCGGAAUUACUGGGCGUAAAGAGUGUGUAGGCGGUGCUCUAAGUUCGGUGUGAAAUCUCCUGGCUCAACUGGGAGGGUGCGCCGGAAACUGGAGUGCUUGAGCGUGGGAGAGGAAAGUGGAAUUCCAAGUGUAGCGGUGAAAAUGCGUAGAGAUUUGGAGGAACACCAGUGGCGAAGGCGACUUUCUGGUCUGUAAACUGACGCUGAGGCGCGAAAGCGUGGGGAGCAAACAGG